rnacentral:rRNA from 1 species
UACGAAGGGUGCUAGCGUUGUUCGGAAUUACUGGGCGUAAAGAGCGCGUAGGCGGUUGUACUAGUCAGGGGUGAAAUCCCACAGCUUAACUGUGGAACUGCCUUUGAAACUGUGCAGCUGGAGUGUGUGAGGGGAUAGCGGAAUUCCUAAUGUAGAGGUGAAAUUCGUAGAUAUUAGGAGGAACACCGGUGGCGAAGGCGGCUAUCUGGCACACAACUGACGCUGAGGUACGAAAGCGUGGGGAGCAAACAGG